rnacentral:lncRNA from 1 species
UUAUAUGAGCCUUGAUUAUGAUCUAGUAUCUUUUUCAGUCAAUAAUGAUGCCUCAUAAUCUUUAUCUCAGCACACUCAAAUAUGACAGCUCAUCAGCAUAUUCUCUGCACAAAGUUAAAGCUGUUUCAAGGUGCUUUUCUUCAAGACAAAGGAAUGCAUUAAUGGAGUUGGUUGGUAGUUGUGAACAUUUCUUCAUUACCAAUGAGUGCAUUAAAAUAGUUGGUUAGUAGCUGUAAACACUUAAUUUCGAAAUUUCCUAUGCAUGAAGGGUUGUUUCAUGCACUAGUAUUUAUUUUGGUGUUUAGGACUUAGAAAGGAUUUUUAGAAACUGAUGAUAUCUGGGCAGAAGCUCUUAGAGAACCCCUUAAACUCUGUAUCUCUUGGAUGCGUCCUUGAGUGGUGAGUCUUUUAUAUUCUAGUUCUGUAUCCUCGUUUAAUUUCCG